UACGUAGGGGGCGAGCGUUAUCCGGAUUUACUGGGUGUAAAGGGAGCGUAGACGGCAGAGCAAGUCUGAAGUGAAAGCCCGCGGCCCAACUGCGGGACUGCUUCGGAAACUGCCCGGCUAGAGUGCUGGAGAGGUAAGCGGAAUUCCUAGUGUAGCGGUGAAAUGCGUAGAUAUUAGGAGGAACACCAGUGGCGAAGGCGGCUUACUGGACAGUAACUGACGUUGAGGCUCGAAAGCGUGGGGAGCAAACAGG
rnacentral:rRNA from 1 species